rnacentral:rRNA from 1 species
AAGGAACUCGGCAAAUUAACCCCGUAAGUUCGCAAUAAGGGGAGCCUCGGUAGUGAUACCAGGUCGCAGAGAAUUGGCCCAAGCAACUGUUUACCAAAAACACAGGUCUCCGCUAAAUCGUAAGAUGAGGUAUGGGGGCUGACGCCUGCCCGGUGCUGGAAGGUCACGGGAAUCUGUUAGAGCAAUCGAAGCAGUGAACUUAAGCCCCAGUAAACGGCGGCCGUAACGAUAACGGUCCUAAGGUAGCGAAAUUCCUUGUCAGGUAAGUUCUGACCCGCACGAAUGGCGUAAUGAUUUGGGCACUGUCUCGACAACGUACCCGGUGAAAUUGUAGUACUUGUGAAGAUGCAAGUUACCCGCGACUAGACGAAAAGACCCCAUGGAGCUUCACUGUAGAUUGUUACUGGGAUUCGAUAUUGUCUGUACAGGAUAGGUGGGAGACGAAGAACGCAUGGCGUCAGUUGUGCGGGAGUCGACGUUGGGAUACCACUCUGACAGUAUUGGGUCUCUAACCGGGAGCCGUAAGCCGGCUUCGGGACAAUGGCAGUCGGACAGUUUGACUGGGGCGGUCGCCUCCAAAAAAGUAACGGAGGCGUCCAAAGGUCACCUCAGUACGGUUGGAAACCGUGCGUCGAGUGCAAAGGCAUAAGGUGGCUUAACUGCGAGACAGACAGGUCGAGCAGGUACGAAAGUAGGGCUUAGUGAUCCGGCGGUAGAAUGUGGAAGUGCCGUCGCUCAACGGAUAAAAGUUACCCUGGGAUAACAGGCUGAUCUCCCCCAAGAGUUCACAUCGACGGGGAGGUUUGGCACCUCGAUGUCGGCUCAUCACAUCCUGGGGCUGAAUUAGGUCCCAAGGGUUCGGCUGUUCGCCGAUUAAAGUGGUACCCGAGCUGGGUUCAGAACGUCGAGAGACAGUUCGGUCUCUAUCUAUCGUGGGCGUAGGAAAUUUGAGGAGUGCUGUCCUUAGUACGAGAGGACCGGGAUGGACAAACCUCUGGUGAACCAGUUGUCACGCCAGUGGCACCGCUGGGUAGCUAUGUUUGGAUUGGAUAAACGCUGAAAGCAUCUAAGUGUGAAACCAGCUUCAAGAUGAGAUUUCCCUCUUUUUUGGUAAGGGCACUGGAAGACCACCAGUUGAUAGGCCAGGUGUGUAAGCAUAGAAAUAUGUUCAGCUUACUGGUACUAACGCCCGAGGACUUGACU